UGGAGAGUUUGAUCCUGGCUCAGGACGAACGCUGGCGGCGUGCUUAACACAUGCAAGUCGAACGAUGAAGCCUUCGGGUGGAUUAGUGGCGAACGGGUGAGUAACACGUGGGCAAUCUGCCCUGUACUUUGGGAUAAGCCUGGGAAACUGGGUCUAAUACCGGAUAUCACYGACCYUCGCAUGGGGGUUGGUUGAAAGUUCUGGCGGUACAGGAUGAGCCCGCGGCCUAUCAGCUUGUUGGUGGGGUAAUGGCCUACCAAGGCGACGACGGGUAGCCGGCCUGAGAGGGUGACCGGCCACACUGGGACUGAGACACGGCCCAGACUCCUACGGGAGGCAGCAGUGGGGAAUAUUGCACAAUGGGCGAAAGCCUGAUGCAGCGACGCCGCGUGAGGGAUGACGGCCUUCGGGUUGUAAACCUCUUUCGCCAGGGACGAAGCGCAAGUGACGGUACCUGGAUAAGAAGCACCGGCUAACUACGUGCCAGCAGCCGCGGUA
rnacentral:rRNA from 1 species